rnacentral:misc_RNA from 1 species
GAUGAAGAACGCAGCGAAAUGCGAUACGUAAUGUGAAUUGCAGAAUUCAGUGAAUCAUCGAAUCUUUGAACGCAUAUUGCGCUCUCUGGUAUUCCGGAGAGCAUGCUUGUUUGAGUAUCAGUAAACACCUCAACUUCCAUAUCUUUUUUGAAAUGGGAGCUGGACUUGAGUGAUCCCAACGCUUUUCCUCACCGAAAAGUGGCGGGUUACUUGAAAUGCAGGUGCAGCUGGACUUUUCUCUGAGCUAUAAGCAUAUCUAUUUAGUCUGCCUCAAAAACAGAUUAUUACCUUUGCUGCAGCUAACAUAAAGGAGAUUAGUUCUUGUGCUGACUGAUGCAGGAUUCACAAAGACAGCUUCGGCCGACUUUGUAAACUCGAUCUCAAAUCAAGUAAGACUACCCGCUGAACUUAAGCAUAUCAAUAAGCGGAGGA